rnacentral:lncRNA from 1 species
GCCGGUGAGCCCAGACAGAGUCACGGUUUUCCGAGGCCCUUGAAGAUUCUGCAGCAGAGGAACAGGACUGGAGGUCAGACGAGCAAACUGAACAUCAGAGGGCUUAGCGAUUUGCUUGAGGCACAGCUACCAAGGAUCAGUGACUGAGGUAGGGGGAAAAUAAUCAUCUCUGUCUCACAGAGGAGGAAACUGAAGCUCACAUUGCUGAAAGGGCUUGUCCCAAAUCAUAC